CUGUCCGAUUUGAAAGUCCGAAAAUAGACGUAACUUCAAAAGAUGUACUAUUUUUUAGAAAUGAGAUUAGACAAUUACUUAAGAAGUGGUAGAAGACCAUAGAAACAUCUGAUAGAUUGCUACAAAGUGAGAUAGAAAUAGGCAAAAGAAAAGAGGAUGCAAUGGGAAGGGAAAAGAUGGAUGUACGAGAAACGAGAUCCGAAUGUACUCUUCACGUGGAUUGCCCUAUAGCGAACGGAUGUAAUGACAGCGAACUCAUCCAAUACGCUUUGCUGACGUUAACAUGACGCUGCUCUCGAAAAGCUACAAUACUACUGCGUCGUGCAUUCGCUUCUCUUUCUCUCUCUCUAUCUCUCUCUCUUUCUCUGUGUGUGUGUGUGUGUGUGUGUGUGUGUGUGUGUGUGUGCGUGCGUGCGUGUAUUGCUGGCAUAGAAGAACGCGCUUGUAAUGCCAAACUCGGUAAAUUCGAUGCUCGUAGAGAGCCGCCGUAAAACGACGACGGCAUUGACAAAGAUCAUACAGCUUUACUCAAUGUAACCAAAAGUUUUAAUGCAUUUCUCAUGUAUAUCCCUAAAAAUGAAUCGUUUCUUUCGAGGAGGGGUAUUUUUUUCAAAUCUUUUUAUAAUAAUCGAGAGUAAUCUCAUUCUUUUUGAUUUAUUAUAUGAA